GAUUCCUUCCUUCAUCUUUUGAUUCCCGUCCACUGUAAAUCGACGUUCGUGCGCCGGAGAGGGGCUGGCGAACCCACUCAAACCAAACACCCCCUAUAAAUCGACGCGGGCACUAGCAACAUGGUAAACGAACACAAGUCAAGAACUGAUCCCAAAUCCAAAGCAUUCCACUAGCUCGUUGAUCAAUGGCAGGAGUGCGGGCUCUCCCUCCUCCGGAUCCGCGCCCGAUGUCGCCCUGCCAUUUCCUCGCGCUGCUGGGCGCGUCGGUGGUGCUGUUCUCCGGCGCCGGCGAGCCGUCCGGUGUCCACGCCGAGUUCGCGCUCGCCGGGUUCCUGCUCUGGCUUCUGGGAGUUGCGCACCUGCAGUUCGGCCACAGGCUGCCAGGAGCACCCGCGAUAGCGGCUACGAGUCCCGCAGUGGAGGAGGAGCUCAAGAAUCUCGUCUUGGGCCGUCAUGACGCGGUGGCGGCCUAAUUUCCCGCAGUGGCGGAGGGAGGGAGGGGCUGAGGGGGGCCUGGCACCCCCAACAUGCCGGUGCCUCCACAAUGCUCCCUCUUUAAUUAGCUAGUUAAUCAUUCAACUAGCAAGGUAAUAAUGCUAAUUAGUACUUUAAUUGCUUAUUUUUCUUCCCUAAUAAUCUAGGAUUAGUCUUUCUAUUGUCUUUUUAUUUCUUUUCUUUUUCCUAUACGGUACAAUUCAAUAGCUAGUUAACAAAUAUAGUUAGUGUUUUGCUUGUUUGUUCUCUCUUCGUGUUGAUCUCCAACUGUAUCUAUAUUAUUUAGGACUAGUCUUUAUGUUCUCUUUCUUAUCUCCUUUGUUUCUAUUAUUACCAUGAUAUCUAUAUUUUUCUGAUGCUGGAGACCUAGUGCUAAUUGAAUUGUUCCCUUUUUCUCUGUAAUAUUCACCGAAUUUUUUUAGCUUUUAUGUAUAUCGUAAAAUAAACUUUUAUUUAGAUAUUAUCUAUGCUAUUGUCUUGUAUAUAUUUCAUCGUGCAUGAUUGUUGUAUGCUUAAGUGCCCCCUACGCUCAAAUCCUUGUUUCCCGGCACGGCGAAAAUGCUGGCGCCUCUGAUAAAACCUAACCCAUG
rnacentral:lncRNA from 1 species